rnacentral:rRNA from 1 species
AUGGAGGUGGAAAUCAAAGCAGAGAUAUGCCCGGUUCUUAGUAUCAUGACCGAGUCUCUGUCAGAUAAAUAUUUGGGCUUCCCAACUAUGAUCGAGAGGGGCAUGGGUUUCCGGGACAUCCACAGUUUUAAUUUGGCUAUGUUGGCCAAACAGUAUUGGAGGCUGAUAGAUAAUUACAACUCCCUUUGUGACAGAGUGUUGAGGUCCAGUGCCUCCUGCAAGGUGAUAACAGUACGUGGUAGUCAGAUACUUACCACGGUGAGUGAACUCAUCGACCCAUCUUUGGGUGAAUGGGAUGAACAACUCAUUAGAGAUAAUUUUUGGCAUAUUGAUGUUGAACGGAUCCUACAAAUUCCUUUGCAUCAUCAAUCCACAGAGGAUUAUGUGGCUUGGCAUCUAACAAAAACCGGGACCUUCUCGGUUUGA